rnacentral:rRNA from 1 species
AUUGAACGCUGGCGGUAUGCUUAACACAUGCAAGUCGAACGAUGAGAAAGAGCUUGCUCUUUCGAUUAGUGGCGGACGGGUGCGUAACGCGUAGGAAUCUACCUAUUAGUGGGGGACAACUUAGGGAAACCUAAGCUAAUACCGCAUACGCCCUACGGGGGAAAGAAGGGGAUCGCAAGACCUUUUGCUAAUAGAUGAGCCUGCGUAGGAUUAGCUAGUUGGUGGGGUAAAAGCUCACCAAGCCGACGAUCCUUAACUGGUUUGAGAGAAUGAGCAGUCACAAUGGAACUGAGACACGGUCCAGAAUCCUACGGGAGGCAGGAGUGGGGAAUAUUGGACAAGGGGCGAAAGCCUGGUCCAGCAAUACCGCGUGUGUGAAGAAGGCCUUAGGGUUGUAAAGCACUUUCAAUUGGAAGGAAAACCUCGAAGCUAAUACCUUCGAGUUUGACAUUACCUUUGGAAGAAGCACCGGCUAACUCCGUGCCAGCAGCCGCCGCAAAAA